UCCUUAAUUUAUUCAAUACCAAGCAGGCGAGAUCAUUAUUGGUCUCGCGAUGUUUGAAUGUCAUGUGACAGCUGCACGUCAGCAUCCUAAAUUGACAGCUACGGCUUAUAUUGGUGCUGAAUCGCACCUUAGGUAGGAGACGCUGUCGGACUCUGACGUGCAGACAUAUGGUCACUCAUCUGUACGUUGAAACGAUCUCUGUCUGUCUGUCGAUGAGGAACUGGCCAGGUGUGUUCCAGAUCCCACCCCGCUCGGAGUAAACUGGAGGAUCUGGGACACAUUAAGAACUGUCUGGUUUAUGUACACUGACCGGACUGGCGAGCUAACCAUAGCGGAACCAGAAAUCCACCCAAUCUCUGAGGAACCGUCUCCAAACUGGUUGGAAAUUCAACCAACCAUCCACAGCGGGAACUAAAGGACUAUUUUGUUUUCUCUUUCAUCACCGAAAGAGACUUCCUUGUUUUAAGGAACCGGACUUCACAGUUGUGAAACACUUUGUAUAUAUUGUAAAUAUAAAUACACUUCGCUGAUUUUUUUCACCAUC